GAGAGUUAAAUAGUACGUGAAAUUGUUGAAAGGGAAACGAUUGAAGUCAGUCAUGCUAGUGAAAAAUCAGUUUGACGGGUUUUGAGUUCAGGAGUAGAGGCAGGGUCAAACCGUUUCUCUUUUGGACUUGGGAUUUGUUAGAUGUACUUUUUCUUUGGCAGGUCAGCGUCGAUUUCGGAGGUUGUAAAAUACUUGGGGGAAAGUAACUCUGCUUCGGGAGAGUAUUAUAGACCCUGGGGGAUGCAGCCUGCGGGAUCGAGGAUUGCAGCAAAUGCCUUUGGCUUGUCGCCUGAUCUCUGGAUGUUACCUCGCUUGUGACAACAUUCUUGCCACCUGUGGGUACUAAUGCCCAUUAGGUUAGAGCGAUCAAAAAUUUUGCUAAGGAUGCUGACGUAAUGGCUUUAAACGA
rnacentral:rRNA from 1 species